rnacentral:tRNA from 1 species
GGAGAGAUGGCCGAGUGGUUUAAGGCGAUAGUCUUGAAAACUAUUAUAGAGUUUAUAAGCUUUAUCGAGGGUUCGAAUCCCUCUCUCUCCA